rnacentral:rRNA from 1 species
GACGAACGCUGGCGGCGUGCCUAAUACAUGCAAGUUGAGCGCUGAAGGUUGGUACUUGUACCAACUGGAUGAGCAGCGAACGGGUGAGUACCGCGUGGGGAAUCUGCCUUUGAGCGGGGGACAACAUUUGGAAACGAAUGCUAAUACCGCAUAAAAACUUUAAACACAAGUUUUAAGUUUGAAAGAUGCAAUUGCAUCACUCAAAGAUGAUCCCGCGUUGUAUUAGCUAGUUGGUGAGGUAAAGGCUCACCAAGGCGAUGAUACAUAGCCGACCUGAGAGGGUGAUCGGCCACAUUGGGACUGAGACACGGCCCAAACUCCUACGGGAGGCAGCAGUAGGGAAUCUUCGGCAAUGGACGAAAGUCUGACCGAGCAACGCCGCGUGAGUGAAGAAGGUUUUCGGAUCGUAAAACUCUGUUGGUAGAGAAGAACGUUGGUGAGAGUGGAAAGCUCAUCAAGUGACGGUAACUACCCAGAAAGGGACGGCUAACUACGUG